rnacentral:lncRNA from 1 species
GUUGUGCUUCUGUUUACUCGUCUGGCACGACACCGCUGUGCAAAUCGUUUGUCAAGCCAUCCAAGCAGGUCCAGGUGGUGUGUGAGUGCAUCCUGGUUAUGCGAGGCCAGGAGAUCAGUUGGAAGUCAGCCAAGAGCAUGAUGGAAAUGUACUGGGAUGCCAUCAACACCAGCCAGGUCAAGACUGUCAGAGUUUCUUGGAGAACCUGAACACCAGCUUUGAGGAAAUGCAGACUAUCAGUAAGGCUGGUUCUGGGAUGUUCAAGUUUGUGGAGGCUGUCAUGGGCUACCGUGACGUCGCCAGGGAGAUCAAGCCCAAGAGAGAGAAGGUGAGGUGCCCAGAGAAGAAUGUCUUCCAGAGCAAGUGUGAGCUGGGGCGUAUUCUGAACCAUCCAUAGGGAGCUGGGGGCGCUGGGGGACAAGUACAAUACUGCCAUGGGGAGAUGCAGUUGCUGCACAAAGAGGCUGAGGUCAUGGAGAGGAGGCUGAUCGCUGCUGACAAACUCAUCUCAGGCCUGGGCUCAGAGAACAACCCUUCUUCCACAACAAGGAGAUGGACUACAAGAUCCCUCCUGACGGGCCCAAGGAAAAUGAUGUUGGUGGAUGAAGUGGAGGCCCAAUGGGAUGUGGUUAUCUGGGUUGCAGGUCCCAGAGUCCUACCUGACUGCUUUGGUUCAGGCCACCUGCAGGAGGAACAGCUAGACUGCUCCACACUCUACACACAGGUCACCCAGUACAGCACUGAGCAGGAGGUCAACGUGAGACCUGGACAGGGUGAGAAUCCUUUAACAGACACACACACACACUGUCACGCCCUGGCCAUAGAGAG